GCCAAUCAAAACUUACCUGUCGUGACAUCAUGAUCCACUCCCUCCACGGAUACGGUGGCGUUGGCGAUGGGGUUGUCAUCGCGGUCUUUCACCACGCCCCUAAUCCCACGAUGCACCUGCCGAGUUAAUACCAUUCCUACAGUCAAGAUUGGGCCAGCUCACUCUCAGGGGGAAACUUGUCACAGCCCAGGAAGAUGGACAGCUCAAGGCAGUUGGUAUGCAGGUAGCUGAAGUCGUUCAUGCCUAACAGAGACGGGAGAAGAGGCGCUGCAAACAACAUAUUUAAAAUGUGCAUUUCCAGAAGACCGAUUAAGUGGCGUGAUAUGCAUCGAACAGUGGGGUACCUGCAUAUUGAGACGCCCUCUUUGGGGGCCAAACCCGUAGUGCAACAUGGAGGAAGCCAUGAGCUGGUCUCCCUCGACACGGUGCGACUCCAGUCCAAUAGGGGGACAGUCUGAGAGGGAGGAAAUAUCUGUUAGUUCCACUUUGAUUGUAGGCUUCAAAUCAAUAAGAUACUUCAAGAAUGUGUGGGGUUUUAGUGAACUGGACCAGAAAC